GAUGAACGCUGGCGGCGUGCCUAAUACAUGCAAGUCGAGCGAACGGACGAGAAGCUUGCUUCUCUGAUGUUAGCGGCGGACGGGUGAGUAACACGUGGAUAACCUACCUAUAAGACUGGGAUAACUUCUGGAAACCGUAGCUAAGACCGGAUAAUAUUUUGAACCGCAUGGUUCAAAAGUGAAAGACGGUCUUGCUGUCACUUAUAGAUGGAUCCGCGCUGCAUUAGCUAGUUGGUAAGGUAACGGCUUACCAAGGCAACGAUGCAUAGCCGACCUGAGAGGGUGAUCGGCCACACUGGAACUGAGACACGGGCCAGACUCCUACGGGAGGCAGCAGUAGGGAAUCUUCCGAAAAGGGCGAAAGCCUGACGGAGCAACGCCGCGUGAGUGAUGAAGGUCUUCGGAUCGUAAAACUCUGUUAUUAGGGAAGAACAUAUGUGUAAGUAACUGUGCACAUCAUGACGGUACCUAAUCAGAAAGCCACGGCUAACUACGUG
rnacentral:rRNA from 1 species